rnacentral:tRNA from 1 species
AGAGAGGUGCCUUAGUGGUUAAGAGCAUUGACUGCUAUUGUAAAGGUCCUGAGUUCAAAUCCCAGCAACCAUA